GAUGAACGCUGGCGGCGUGCCUAACACAUGCAAGUCGAACGGAGAUUACGGACGGAAGUUUUCGGAUGGAAGCCUGUAAUUCUUAGUGGCGGACGGGUGAGUAACGCGUGGGCAACCUGCCCUAUACAGGGGGAUAGCAGCUGGAAACGGCUGGUAAGACCGCAUAAGUCGGUUAAAUCGCAUGAUUUGAUCGGGAAAUGAGCAAUCAGGUAUAGGAUGGGCCCGCGUCCGAUUAGCCAGUUGGCAGGGUAAAAGCCUACCAAAGCGACGAUCGGUAGCCGGACUGAGAGGUCGGACGGCCACAUUGGGACUGAGACACGGCCCAAACUCCUACGGGAGGCAGCAGUGGGGGAUAUUGCACAAUGGUGGAAACUCUGAUGCAGCGACGCCGCGUGAGUGAAGAAGUAUUUCGGUAUGUAAAGCUCUAUCAGCAGGGAAGAUGAUGACGGUACCUGACUAAG
rnacentral:rRNA from 1 species